AGCGUCUGCAGAGUGAGCCCUCUGCCUUACGCAGACGAUCUUCGACUUGCUGACGUCACUGUGAACGUGCGAUAAUGUUUGCUAAGAAAGUUAGCAAAACUUUUCUUUGGGGGUUGAGACAUGUCUCCGGAGGGAAGCAGGUGCUCCCUGUGGCUGUUGCAAGACAACAGCACACCCAGGCCCAGGGGCAGCCUGUGCCUUCAACCCGUCCAGAGACAUCCAGUGCCAAGUCCCUGAUGGACAUCGGGACCCGGCGGAUAUUCAACGAGGACCAUGAUAUCUUCAGACAAAGUGUCCGGCGCUUCUUUCAAGAGGAAGUGAUUCCACACCACACAGAGUGGGAAAAGGCAGGUCAGGUGAGCAGGGAGGUGUGGGAGAAAGCUGGUGAGCAAGGCAUGCUGGGAGUUAUGAUCCCAGAGGAGCACGGUGGCAUCGGAGCAGACCUGUUUUCUGUGGCUGUCAUAUGGGAGGAGCAGAUGUACUCCAACUGCACAGGCCCGGGUUUCACGCUGCACUCCGACAUUGUCAUGCCCUAUGUAUCUAACUAUGGGAGCAAGGAACAAAUUGAGCGCUUCAUCCCAGAGAUGAGUGCAGGGAAAUGCAUCAGCGCUAUUGCCAUGACGGAGCCAGGAGCGGGCAGUGAUCUUCAAGGCGUGAAGACAUACGCUAAGAGGGAUGGCAGCGACUGGAUCCUCAAUGGCAACAAGGUGUUCAUCACAAACGGUUGGAUGUCCGACCUGGUGGUGGUAGUGGCCGUGACCAACCGCGAGGCGAAGGCAGCGGCGCACGCCAUCAGUCUGUUCCUGGUGGAGAAUGGCACCAAGGGCUUCCAGAAAGGACGCAAGCUGGAGAAGAUCGGUCUGAAGGCCCAGGACACAGCCGAACUGUUUUUUGACGAUGUGCGGCUCCCUGCUGACGCCCUCUUGGGGGAGGUCAACAAGGGAUUCUACUACCUGAUGAACGAGCUGCCUCAGGAUUCAUUGUUUCCGGUUAGCUUCAUGGUGAAUAAUUGUAUCAUUUUGGGGGAAAGGAACGUUUGGUCAUCGCUGGCAUGGCCAUCGCAAGCUGUGAGUUUAUGUUUGAGGAAACCAGGAACUACGUCAUGCAGAGGAAGGCUUUCGGCAAGACCAUCGCUCACCUCCAGACUGUGCAACACAAACUAGCAGAGAUGAAAACUGAAAUCUGUGUGGGCCGAGCCUUCAUAGAUAACUGCCUUCUGCUCCACUCGGAGAAACGCCUCGACGCCGCCACGGCUUCCAUGGCCAAAUUCUGGGCAUCUGACCUGCAGAACACGGUGGCCACUCAGUGCCUGCAGCUCCACGGAGGCUGGGGCUACAUGUGGGAAUACCCCAUCGCCAAGGCGUUUGUCGACGCUCGCAUUCAGCCCAUCUACGGAGGCACCAAUGAGAUCAUGAAAGAGCUCAUCGCCCGCACCAUUGUUAGCCAGAAGUAGUUGUUUGUGUUGGCACAUGCUCACUUAAAUCUACAAAAUAUAUAAAGUAAAUAAAACACCACAGGUAAUGAAAAAGAGACUGUGACGAAAAAAGACAAUGAACCUCAAUUUUAAAAAAAUGGACUUAAAUAGCACACAUUCAGGUGUAGACAGAUAUGAAAAGGUUCAAGUGAAGGUAGUGCAACAGUUGGCAGUCAUAGUCAAAUCUGUAUGACAUGUCGCCAGAGACACCUAGUUUGUAAUACUGUGAAUAUAUGAAUAUGCUCAUCUGUACUUGAAAUGAUUUAAAUAAAAACGUUUGAGAUUUGA